ACUUUCCCGUCUGGUAUGGUCUGUGAUUGUAUUGUUAAAAACGUGGCGUCCGCUCCACUAUGUGUUUUGAGUUUGUAGCAAAUAUCUCACCCAUUGAUUCCGCUAGAGUUUUACUAUUGUACAUUAGUUGCACAAUGUUUUCGUCCGCUGAAUGUGACCAUUGUAAUUAUCGUCAUGUUGGAUUUCAGUGUAAUUGAUUGCGAUAUUAAUGAAAUAGUAAAUUGAAACUGAGUUGUUAUUUCCUAUAAAAUGCAAAUAUUAAAAAAGAAAUGAAGAGGCAAUGAGAACUUGUUAUUUAGAUGAAUCAGUAUAACUCAAACAUAUUCAUCACAUGACUACUGUCCAUUCAGAUAGUCUCCAUUUAUUCAAUAGAAAAGUAUGACAACAAGUGAUUCUUCAUUCAACUAGUCUAUUAUAAAUGGUGAGUGUAACUUAUUUUAUUAUUUUCUUUAAGAAUUUUCGUGAUAAGUGUAAGAGAAUUUUUAGAAAUGGUUAACAUACAUAGGAACUAGAGUGCUGUCAAUAAUAAAAAAGACUUGAAUAAAAUUUAUAGUUCCAUUUUAUAAAUUUCAAUUCACAAAUAAAUUAUUGAUGGUCGCUAUAUAUUUUUGAAACUAAGGAAGAAUUAAUUUUUUUUGUUAAUACAAAUUUCUUUUUUGGUUUUAUUUUUAUUUUGCUAUUUGUGAUGUAGGUGAUCUAUUGAUUGAAUAUAAUUAGGCAAUUAUAUUUAUAACUUUGACUGUCAAGUUAUAUUUUGUUGAAGUAAGUUGAAACCCCAAUUUUUAACACGAUUUUUUUUUAAACGAUUUUCUAUCAGAAGGAACCUAAAAUCAAGACAAUCCAUCUCAAAAAUCAAGAUUAUUGUUAUUUUUAAUAGGAAUGUUUGUUUUUUGGUGCUACUAUUUUGUAGGAUGUCCAUUUUCAUGUCAAUCCUAUUCCAUCAGGAACUCAUUUACCAUGCUCUGCUUCAUAGUGGUUCUUAGUAAAAUCUAAUUUUUUUAGGCAGCCAAUUGACAAUUGAAAUAGUGAAACAUGUCUUUCUUCAUUAUAAGCGUCAGAUGAACCUAGAAAGCUUCACAAAGAGAAGAAAAAUAUUUUAUCCCCUUCUUCUAAUAUAAAAUCACAGUGUGCAAACUAAUUAAUCCACAAAAAGUAAUGAACUCGUCAAAAUUUUUGUUUUGAAUUUUUUUGGUAUGUUUUAUUUGUUACACAUAAUUGUUAAACUCAUCAUAAUGUAAAAAAUGAGCUUUGCAUUUGAAACAUUCUUAAUUAUAUCAGCAGCAACAAAAAGAACAUUUAGCAGUUCUUUUACCUCUUAAGUAUAUGUGAUUUUCCUAUUAUUAAGUUGUAGUCUCCAUUUGAAAAGUUUCAGAGUUAGAUGUGAAGGAUGAUUUAUAACUAAAUUCGGAUUGUUUCGUUUUUUUUUUCUAUCAAAUUUCACACUAUUUUUCUAUCAUCCUAUUUGAUUUUGCACAACUGAAUUCAGACAUCCAAUGCUCCAAUCCAAUUUUUUUCAUCCUUUUUAAGUUUAUAAUAGUGUAUGAGUUCUCUAUUUCACUUUCUUAAAUAAACGACUUAACGACCUAAUAAUAGGUUGAUAUGUCAAAACAAAGUCAAAACCGAAGUUACACUUGUUUGUCCCGUUUGGCCCACACACUUCUCUCUCUAGUUGAGACUUAAAGGUACAUGUAGAGCUAAGGGUAACCGAAAUUUCCCGGUAAAUUGGUGCGAUGUAUUGACACAUUGUUAUAGGCAUAAACAACACAUAUUAUGAUCUAAUACGGGAACAGAACAUACGUUGAAGGUGUUUAAGGAGUUAGUUUACUUUCCUACAAUGUCCUGAAGCUAAUUCUGUUUCAAUCCUCAAUUCUUUCAUUAGUUAUAUUCAUUCAUUAUUAUUCUUGUUAAUCUACAUGUUUCAUUCUUAUGAUUUCUACAUACCAAUUUACUUGUUUUGCUGCUAUUAUUCUCGGAUGCUCAAUUUCCAUUGCUUUUACAUAUAUUUCAUCUUUCUUCUUUAUUGUCAAAUAUUCUAUGUAUGUUAUAGUUGGUACUGCUGUCACUUAGACAUUUUACUUUUCCCAUCUAUAUUUAUAUUUUUGUAUUUUAUUUAAUGUAUAGUAAUUUUUUCUUAUCCUUCUUAUUCUUGUCUAUCUAUCCAUAGAAAGCCUCGGAGAUAGAGAGUACUACACAAGCACUCACAAUUAUAAUUCUCGAAUUGUGAGUAUUGGUGUAGUAGGGGUAUGCAUAUUGUGCUGCAGUAUUAAUAUCGUCAACGGAUUCAAAAAUUCCAAAUUAACUAUUAUUCUUACAAAUUUUUAAAAACAAUUAUAUGAUUCAUGCUGUUUUUGGUUGUAAAAACAUCAGAAGCUUUAUAAGAGUUUUCAAUUAGGUAUUGAAGAAACAAUAAAUAUCACUGGUAACUACAUAAGGUCAAGUUUAGUAAAGCAACACAUGUAGUAAAGAAAACUAGUACGCCUAUAAGAUGUCAGACCAAAACAGAAAUUAAAAACAGGUCAGAUCAAAACAAAACAAACAUUCAAUACAGACAGAAACAAGGCACGAAACGUAAAUACACAAGUGUCCCACUAAUAUGGAUACUUUGAGUUUUAUUGCUGUUUAUUACAGUUUAACAUACUUACGUGUGUACUUAGUAUUUAAUCGUAGAAAGUGAAGAUAAUAGAAUUUGUUAUUCUUAUAUAAAUUUUUUCUUCUAAAUACAAAAUUAGAGGUCAUUGGCUCAUGAACUGAAAAAAAUUAGAUUUAGUACAUUAGAUUUAGUAGAUGAGUAAAAUAAUUUGAAUUAGAAAA